rnacentral:rRNA from 1 species
GGACUACUGGGGUAUCUAAUCCUGUUCGCUCCCCACGCUUUCGCUCCUCAGCGUCAGGUAAGGCCCAGAGAACCGCCUUCGCCACCGGUGUUCCUCCCGAUAUCUGCGCAUUUCACCGCUACACCGGGAAUUCCAUUCUCCCCUACCUACCUCUAGUCUGCCCGUAUCCACUGCAAGGCCAGGGUUAAGCCCCAGCUUUUCACAGCAGACGUGACAGUCCGCCUACGAGCUCUUUACGCCCAAUAAUUCCGGACAACGCUUGCGCCCUACGUGUUACCGCGGCUGCUGGCAC